GAUGAGCGCUGGCGGCGUGCCUAAUACAUGCAAGUCGAGCGAACGGACGAGACGCUUGCUUCUCUGAUGUUAGCGGCGGACGGGUGAGUAACACGUGGAUAACCUACCUAUAAGACUGGGAUAACUUCGGGAAACCGGAGCUAAUACCGGAUAAUAUUUUGAACCGCAUGGUUCAAAAGUGAAAGACGGUCUUGCUGUCACUUAUAGAUGGAUCCGCGCUGCAUUAGCUAGUUGGUAAGGUAACGGCUUACCAAGGCAACGAUGCAUAGCCGACCUGAGAGGGUGAUCGGCCACACUGGAACUGAGACACGGUCCAGACUCCUACGGGAGGCAGCAGUAGGGAAUCUUCCGCAAUGGGCGAAAGCCUGACGGAGCAACGCCGCGUGAGUGAUGAAGGUCUUCGGAUCGUAAAACUCUGUUAUUAGGGAAGAACAUAUGUGUAAGUAACUGUGCACAUCUUGACGGUACCUAAUCAGAAAGCCACGGCUAACUACGUG
rnacentral:rRNA from 1 species